AGGAACCACUCGUACAUUGCGGUUCCUGCAUGCCCGCACGCAGCCACCUGACGAGGGCUCGCCACGUUUAAGCCGUUCCUAGCGCGUCAGUC
rnacentral:sRNA from 5 species